rnacentral:ncRNA from 12 species
GGGUGUACACGGUGCAUAUUGCUGCGUGACAGGUUUUAGCGUAGGUCGGGCCGCCACG